AUGCACCAUGAAGCUGUUUGCCAACCCAUAAUCAAAGCUCAGAAGAAGAAGCUCCCAGUAUGCAACGCGGUCCGGUCGCUCUUCUGUUGCCGGAAACGCCUCUGGAACAAUGCAAUCACACCCCGAUGUUCAGAGGUUGGAAAAUGGAGAUGUGUCUCAGAGAGACCAUUUACUGAGAGAAGAUCUCACCGGUCUUCCUGACCUGGGUGCUGACCAACUGUUUAAUGGCUCUACAGUUGCUUCAAGGUUCCUGCGGGCUGAACUGGAACUGAACGCACGGUUGCGGACGCUUUCCUUUGGAAAACCAGUGCAAUACACGUACAACCCGCUUGAGUACGCCUGGGACACACAUCGAUGUUAUGUGGAGAAAUACUGUCAGGAAGGGCAGAGCGUACUCUUCCUAGGCAUGAACCCAGGGCCUUUUGGCAUGGCACAAACAGGGGUACCGUUUGGCGAGGUGAAGGCUGUUCGCGGUUGGCUGAAAAUCACUGGAGCGGUCGGCCGUCCAGCAGAGGAACAUCCUAAGCGACGUAUCACAGGCCUCGACUGCACUCAGAGUGAAGUGAGCGGAGCCCGUUUCUGGGGCUUUUUCCAAGAGCUCUGCGGUGAAACUCACAACUUCUUCCGCCACUGUUUUGUGCACAACUUGUGUCCUCUCAUCUUCAUGAGUGAGUCUGGCAAGAACCUAACUCCACCUGAGCUCCCGGCCGCGGAUCGAGAUGCCCUUUUGUCCUGCUGUGACAGUGCUCUUUGUCAGGUCGUCACUGCACUGGGAGUCUCCCUGGUGAUCGGAGUGGGCAAGCUAGCUGAGCAGCGCGCUCGACGGGCUCUGGCAGAAGCAGGCAUCACUGUGAGAGUGGAGGGUAUCAUGCAUCCGUCCCCUAGAAACCCACUGGCUAAUAAAGGAUGGGCUAACAUAGUCAGAGGCAAACUAGAUAAUCUGGGGGUGUUAAGUUUGCUUACCAGUUGAUGAUGAGGAUGAUGAUGACAGCUACUACAUCUGCAUUUUAAAAUUUACUCAUUCAUUCUUUUGAACCUUACUGAUGACAUUAUCAGUGGCUUAAUGAGACAUUUGUGGAAGUAAAACGUCAUGUUUAAGAUAACAGAUGUUAUGAAAAUUAAUGGAGUACUUUAUCGCACAUUUAUUAUUAUUAUUAUUUUUUUUAUUCAUCUCUCUGUGUGUGUGUAUACACUGAACUUUAGAUGGCCAUUUUAAGCUCUUUUCUAUGUUAUGAUGUAAAGGUGCAUGCAUAUGUGGGAUUGUUUUUCUUUUUCUUUAACCAUAUAAAUAGAUAGAUAGAUAGAUAGAUAGAUAGAUAGAGAUGUUUGUCUGGAUUUUUUAGAUUACAUUUGUGCAGCUAAGAAAAAACAAAUACUGUAGAUAUUACUUUAUGUUAGUCUUUAAUUAUAACACACUAACUUAGCAACUUAGCCAUAAUGAGUUCAAGAGGUUGUUAUACAUUGAAUUCAAUCUCAUUUUUGCCCUUGGAUUGUGGAUUGCCUUUUUUUUUUAUUAUGUGUUUAACCCAAAUGUUGAGUUGAAUGUACAGUAAAGGUGAUGGUAAUAAAUUGUAUCUCAUGUUCAGCA